UACCUGUAAAAACACUUAGUAAAAGUGUUAGUACUAAAUAAAUAUGACUAAAAAUAAAUGAAUUAAACAAUAAUUUAAAAAUAAACAAUCCGUCUUAUUAACAUGAGAGGCCUUAGAAAUCGACGGUAAUUUCUUCAUCGGCCAUUUUGAACAAACAAAAUACAUGAACUUAAACUAAAUUUCCGUCUUUUUAAAAAUGUGGAGGCCUCCAAAACUGACGGAGAGAUUUUUCAUUGGCCAAUUUUAAC
rnacentral:lncRNA from 1 species